rfam:Felis catus isolate Cinnamon breed Abyssinian chromosome F2, whole genome shotgun sequence.
CAAAAGGUUGUUAUAACAACCAUAAGAAUAAUUGUAAAGAUAUUU